AUGCCUAAAAUGCCAGAAACUGCCAGAAAUAUGGAACUCUCUGUGCUGAGCAAGUGGACUAGAGCUGGUACUCCCAUCACACACAGCAAGGAGCUGGGGCAAGCAGAGAAACCAGACCCAGCGAGAUUCCAUGCCCAGAGUGCCUUGUGUUUUCUGGAGCAUCCCCUCUGAGGGGGCCUUCAUUGAGCUGGUGUGAUUGGGAUAGGCAGUUCAGCAGCAAACAUCCACAGCCCUGCAAGGAGUUGAUGUCCUUCUCUGGUGAUGUGAGUCACACCAUGACACACAGGCUCUCCUCAGCAGACACUCAGGUACUACACUGUUGGGGGAAGAUGCUGGUAAAACAUAUUAAUGUAAAACCACUACUGUAAAAUCCUUGCUCCUUAGAGCCUGGAGCAUUCAUGAAGAGGGUACCUGAGAAGGGACAAGAAAAACUGUAGGGACUGAAUACCACUGAGGCAAUAAAGUGAGAUCCAGUAUUUAAUCAUCUUUUCCAAUAGCGGUUUCAUUUUUUUUUAAAGUAUUUCGGAGAGACUUCUACAUUUCAUCACAGUGAAUGGGUGAUGAUGAAAGAUUUUGUCUAGACAGAAGGUAAAGUUUGAAUUUUAAAAUUAUUCUACACAGUGGAAUAAAAACCAAAUCAGCACAAUGCUAUGUUUGUCUUAAAAAGAAAAAGAAAAAGAAAUAAAAAAAGAAAAACAAAAAAAUAAUGCCCCCGGAAGUUAAAACCCCCAAAAGAAUCAAACUUUAUUCGUUUGGAAAUAUGUUCUAACUAAAGUAAAUAUUUUAAAUAUUUAGUAUUAAACAUUAACAAAGAUCACUUUGUGGAGAUGAAAUUAACAUCAUCAGGGAGUUUUAUAAACGGUCUCAAUUUCUGGGUAGCUGCUCUUUAGCACUAACAGCACACAGCAUAUUUGGUGCAGUGUAGAUUUUCUUUUUUUUUUUUUUUUACUUAUUUAGUGCCAUAGCAGAAGAAGCAAUUAGCUGGCAUUUCAUGGGGCAAUCUCCCAAGAACAAUCCUGAGACAAGAGCAACUCCACCACAGAUCAGACACUGGAAGGAGACGCAGCUGGGUGCCCCGCAGACCUGCAGGUGUGUCAGGUUGCCCCACUUGACAUCUUCUUGCAGGUUUUUCUUU
ensembl:lncRNA